CGCGGUAAUUUGACCGUGCUAAGGUAGCAUAAUCAUUUGUCUUUUAAUUGAAGACUGGAAUGAAAGGUAAAACGAGAAAUGAGCUGUCUUUAUAAAAUAAAUUGAAUUUUAUUUUUUAGUGAAAAAGCUAAAAUAUAUUUGUGGGACGAUAAGACCCUAUAGAUCUUUAUUAGAAGUUUUAUUUUAAUGUAAAAAUAUAAUUUUAUUGGGGCGAUAAGAAGAAAAGUGUAUCUCUUUAAUUAUAAAAAUAUUUAUGGAUAAAUAUAUUUUUGAUCCUAAAAGUUGGAUUAUUAGAAUAAGUUACCUUAGGGAUAACAGCGUAAUAUUUUUUGAGAGUUCUUAUCGAAAAAAAUGUUUGCGACCUCGAUGUU
rnacentral:rRNA from 1 species